AAGAUCAUAAGGUGAAGGUCAAUCCAAAUUAGGAAUAGAGAAGCCUUCCAGAAGACCUCUUUCUGUUGACAUUUUCAUCAUUAUGUCCAAACCGUCCAUUAUUAAGAGCAAUAAUAACGUAGAGAUUAGUUCUCUGUAGCAACGCCCCCAGCAGCUUUUGACAUGCCUCUGAAACAGUCUAUCAAGAUUUUUUUUUAAAAUCCACUGAAGAGCAAUAGGUUUCAUCCUUCUGCCAUUGCUGU